UGGGAAUCCCUGUGUGAGUCUCUGU
rnacentral:piRNA from 1 species